UGUGUGUGUGUGUGUGUGUUUUGUUUUUUGUUUUGUUUUAAUGAAAGCCUUCCAGGCAUUCAUUACGCACCUAUAUUGUGGUCCAAGGACUUCUAUUUCAAAUUUUCCUUUUUCUUUUUUGGUCAUACCUCAAGUGACCUAGACUGAAGCAAAAUAUAUCUCACUCCACCACCUCCCACAUCCACAUAGGAUGGAAGCUUUUGGGGGUUUUGUUCCUCUUGCUGUUGUUUAUUCCUUUUCCUUCUUCCCCUUGCAGGAGAUCAUCAUGUGGGAGGAGUCUUUUCUCUUGGCCUCGGAAUGACCCCCAGCUGUUACUUUUCCUUCAUGCCACUUUCGUUCCUAAAGAACAGCAACUUACACCUCAUGCUUCUGGGUCUUCACCUGCAUCUUUCCCAGCCCUAUAUAUAUUGGUGUCUUCCCCUCAGCAACUAACAAAGCCACAUUAUACAGCAUUGGCAUGUGUGGAUAUCCUCAGUAUUUCAGAAAUGCCUGAGACCACGUCCUCUCUAGGAAAAUAUUUGUCCCGGCAUGAAUCUCUUAGCCUCCCCCAUCCCACUCUCUGCUGUGGCUCUUUUCUUCUCAGAUGGACCACACGAGCUCAUGUCAAGCAGCAUACCCUUCCCAGCACAGCAUUAUUGUUCUUCAUCUUUCUAUAACCAGCUCUUACAUCCAGAAUGUCUCCAGAACCCAUCAAAUACCAAUGACAGUAGUGAGAUGAAGAUGGUCCCAGCUGCAAGGCAUAAGGACAAUUUGUUGUUGAUUCUGAACUUAAAUCAUAGAAUUCAGUUUGCAUGGUACGGUUUAGGGCAUAGGACAGGAGUUCAAUUUUUAGUGAUAAAGUGGAAAAGAGAAAGGGUAGAAGAAAUAGGAGGAGGCAGAGAGGAGGAAGCAGAGAGGAGGAGGCAGAGAGGAGGAAGGCAUAAAGGAGGAGAUACUACUUUUUUACUUAUCAAUUCCAGUUUCCUCUCCUUCCCAUCCUCCCAUGCCCCCCCAACCCCCCACCCCCAUCCCCCCUGCACUAAUCCCCCAUCCCCUCCUCCUUCGUCUCUGCAGGGAGAGUGAGUCCUUCCAUGCAGGGAUCAUCAAAGUCUGACUGCUGGGGAACCAGCAUAGGACUGAACUAGUUCCCCUUAAUGUGGGUUGUCAGUUAGGAGGCCUGGGCAGUCUAUGAGGCCUCUGGUAGAGGAAUGCUAUUUUGCCAAAAGAAAAACUAAAAGGAAUCUGAGAAUGGAAAGGAAGGAGAAGGCUUUGCCAUGCAGAUGAUUUACAGUGUAACAUAUAAGCAUGAGAAGCUCUUUGGUUCAUUCCUUUUUAGACAAAAAGAAUGAAAGUACAAAAAUUGGG
rnacentral:lncRNA from 1 species